rnacentral:misc_RNA from 1 species
GUGGGAGGGGGCUUGCUCCCGAUAGCGUUGGUUCAGUCACCUUCUGCAUCACCUGACACACCGUUAUCGGGAGCAAGCCCCCUCCCAC